GUACAACUGACGACUCCCAAAUAGAACGAAACGCGUGUCCUGGAU
rnacentral:hammerhead_ribozyme from 1 species